rnacentral:SRP_RNA from 1 species
GCUGGGCAUGGUGGCGUGUGCCUGUAAUCCCAGCUACUCAGGAGGCUGAGGCAGGGGAAUCGCUUGAACUUGGGAGGCGGAGGUUGCAGUGAGCUGAGAUCACACCACUGCACUCCAGCCUGGGGAAUAGAGCGAGACUCUGUCUCAA